rnacentral:ncRNA from 1 species
UAUCGACACUCUGGAAAGCGUUCCUUUGAGGAGCCACCGAAGGGGUAAGCCCGCCGCGCCACGCGCCGGGUCAAAGCUCUCAGGUCACCGUGACAGAGGGGGUAUG